CGCCGCCCUCCCAACGCCCGCCGCCGCUCGGCCGGCCGGGCGUCGACCCCGCGGAGGCGGGGGGCAGCGUCCCUCCCUCUGGUCCCUCCCCCUCGCCCUCCCCCGCCCUGCUGUCGCCCCCUCCCCCGAGUGGGGACUUUGCGGCUACGGGUUCGCCAACUUGGCCCUCAACUAAGGGAACGAGCAACUUUCGGGAGGGCGGGCGCCGGCUCCGGGCACCCAUCUUCUGGUGGGGUGGGAAGGGCGAGAGUGGAGAGCCUCUUUUGUUUUAAAUGAAGCGAGGAGACCUUGGCUGACUCACGUGGAUGCACUCAGUCCAUUCCAGAAUUGAAAAUGUGUGCGACAGAGAACGAGCAGCUCCGCUUUGUACUCUGACAACUGAGCCUCCGCUCUCCUGCUCACAGGGCCUCCACUCUACCAGACUGUUAAGACUUCUUGGGACUGAAUUUCAUGAGUUCGAGGAGUCCCCCAGCAGAUCUAAAAUCCCAGCUGUUAUUUUGGAUUUGCUCCAGGGCCUAAAAACGUCCACAAUAUAUUUUUUUAAUCUUGCGUUGACUUUUACGAACACAUGCACUGCAUACUAAGCAGCCACCUGUAAGUUUCAACACUGCUACCAAAAACCAGCACUUCUGCUCUGCUGCAUGCAGCGACUCUGAAAACUCUCAACGCCUCAUAUGCACUCCUAGUGGGUCCCCAUGAAAUCUUUUAGAUGUUGUUAACUCACUUUUAGCUGCAAAACCCUCUUUGAACAUUUAGAAUGAAAGAAGCAGCUUCCUUGGAUAGUUUAUCUUCUUAGGGAAAAAAUAAAGAGAGCAGAAAGCAAAGCAGGAUGAAUCCAAGUGGCUUUUACUUUAAAAUCUCCCUUUAGGAGAACGUAACUGGGGAAAGAGGAAACCCGGGAGAAGCCGCAGCUCUGACAUGAAUAAUUUAGGUGAGGCAUGUGUGAAAGCAAAAUGAAAGUUCAACCAAGAAAAUAUGAGAGUGUAUUUUAAAAUGACAGUGCAGGGCACAGCGAUUGGAGUCAGACUAUGGUGGUUAAUUUUAUGUGUUAACUUGACUGGGCAAUGGGGUUCCCAGCUAUUUGGUCAAAUAUUAUUCUGGGUGCUUCUGUGAGGGUGUUUAGGAUGAGACGAACUUUUGAAUCAGUAGCUGAGUAAAGGAGAUAGACCUCCCUAAUGUGGAUGGGCCUCAUCCAAUCAGUUGAAGGCCUGAGUAGACGGAAAAGGCUGACCCUCCCCCAAGUAAGGGAGAAUUCAUCCUGCCUGACU
rnacentral:lncRNA from 1 species